UACGUAGGGGGCAAGCGUUGUCCGGAAUCAUUGGGCGUAAAGCGCGUGUAGGCGGCUCGGUAAGUCCGCUCUGAAAGUCCAGGGCUCAACCCUGGGAUGCGGGUGGAUACUGCCGAGCUCGAGUCCGGAAGAGGCGAGUGGAAUCCCUGGUGUAGCGGUGAAAUGCGACAGAUAUCAGGAGGAACACCAUGGCGAAGGCG
rnacentral:rRNA from 1 species